GUGGCGAAGCGUUGUCCGGAUUUACUGGGCGUAAAGGGUGAGUAGGCGGUUGUAUAUGUCAGGUGUAAAAGGCUAUCGGCUUAACCAUGGUUAGGCACUUGAAACUGUACAACUUGAGUGCAGGAGAGGUAAGUGGAAUUCCUAGUGUAGCGGUGAAAUGCGUAGAUAUUAGGAGGAACACCAGUGGCGAAGGCGACUUACUGGACUGUAACUGACGCUGAGUCACGAAAGCGUGGGUAGC
rnacentral:rRNA from 1 species